rnacentral:rRNA from 1 species
UUGACGGAGAGUUUGAUCCUGGCUCAGGACGAACGCUGGCGGCGGGCUUAACACAUGCAAGUCGAACGAGGUUCACCGAGUAGCAAUACGAGGGAAGACCUAGUGGCGAACGGGUGAGUAUCACGUGAGAAACCAACCCCGGUCU